rnacentral:misc_RNA from 1 species
GGGCAGCGACGGCAUCUCCCGCACGCUUCUUCAAUUGUGGGAACGAGCUUUGUCUCGUCCGUGGUCGGUUUUCCUGUGUUGCAUACCUAUUGCGAGGGCAUUCGGUCGGUCAAAAUGGUCCCAUCUCCGCCUUGUGCCGACGCUCCUUGCGGGCGUGUGGUGUGGGGUGGAUCUCACGGCAUGCGUUGUGUUUCGCGCCGCAUUCACCCUCAUCGGUGUUUGGGUAGGCGACCCACGACGUGCUGUCCGUUGGCUCGGGUACGGAACAUCGGGUGGGUACGAGGCAUGGCCUCCGAUCACCACACCAAUGCGUUCUACGCUCUAUGCGAACGACUGCCGCACUCGGCCUUCGACUGAGCACUUGCGGCUCGUUUGAAGCCUUGUCGGCGUCGGUGAGGGAUGCUACCUGGUUGAUCCUGCCAGUAGUCAUAUG